UACGUAGGGCGCAAGCGUUGUCCGGAAUUAUUGGGCGUAAAGAGCUCGUAGGCGGUCUGUUACGUCCGCUGUGAAAACCCAGGGCUUAACCCUGGGCUUGCAGUGGAUACGGGUAGACUAGAGGCAGGUAGGGGAGAAUGGAAUUCCCGGUGUAGCGGUGAAAUGCGCAGAUAUCAGGAGGAACACCGGUGGCGAAGGCGGGUCUCUGGGCCGAUACUGACGCUGAGGAGCGAAAGCGUGGGGAGCAAACAGG
rnacentral:rRNA from 1 species